rnacentral:rRNA from 1 species
GCGCAGCAGGCGAGAAUUUUUCUCAAUGGGGGAAACCCUGAAGGAGCGACGCCGCGUGGAGGAUGAAGGUCUUCGGGUUGUAAACUCCUGUCAUUUGGGAACAAGCGUCGGGUACGUAACUACUACCGGCUUGAUAGUACCAGAAGAGGAAGAGACGGCUAACUCUGUGCCAGCAGCCGCGGUAAUACAGAGGUCUCAAGCGUUGUUCGGAUUCAUUGGGCGUAAAGGGUGCGUAGGUGGCGCCGUAAGUGGGGGUGUGAAAUUUCGGAGCUUAACUCCGAAACUGCAUUCCAUACUGCGGUGCUUGAGGACUGGAGAGGAGACUGGAAUUCAUGGUGUAGCAGUGAAAUGCGUAGAGAUCAUGAGGAAGACCAGUGGCGAAGGCGGGUCUCUGGACAGUUCCUGACACUGAUGCACGAAGGCCAGGGGAGCAAACGGGAUUAGAUACCCGUGUAGU